GAAAAGGCCAGAAAUGAAACAAUGCGGCUUAUGCCAUGCCGCUGUCGUUAGACUAGACAGGCACCUACAAAAAUGCCACGAUCUGAAGAAAAAUGAUGAAGAAUACAAAAAAGCAAAAAGGAAGUGUUAAGUUGCCUGUUGAAGAAUCUCAGAGCGACUUCAAGGAGUACCUGCUUACAAGCAGACAGCACAAACGCCGACAAGCCGAAUAAACCAUUGCAGAAUUCAAUGCAAUCUCCGGAGGAAAAGAAAACGCCAAAUAUCUAAGGCAGCCUUCAAACAAUGUUUUAAGAAGGCCCAAGUCCAUAUCGGUGUAGUUGGUUCUUGGUCGUCUGCAGUUCUGUUGAUUGUAAUCCAUACCAUCAGUCAGUGACAGAUUCGAAGGUGGGAGGUUUAGGGUGUUCGGACAAACCCUUCUGUGAAGAAAUAUAGAAGAAAAUACUGCUGGGUCCUUGUUAUCCCUCAUUCACACCUGUAUACAGUAUGUUCGGGUAAUAUGCUUGUCUUGUGUAUCGGAGUGUUACAUACUAUGUGAUAAAAUUAAAUGAAUGAAUUGUAUCUCAACUCUUACCAUUGAUUUUUUGCUUUUUUUUGUCUUUGUAAUGCCACAUCUUUUGCUAGCUGCUUCCCAAGGAGUUUCACAAUGUUUUGAGCUCUGAUGAGCUCAAAAGAGGAUACAUCUAGUUCAAAAGUUGCAUACUCCAAGUAUAACUGUAUGCUUGUCAGAUAAUGUCUAACUGUGCUAGCAGUUUUGGUUUCCAGUAGUU